GGGCUUCGCAUGGGCGAGCCUGACGGAGCAACGCCGCGUGAGUGAUGAAGGUCUUCGGAUCGUAAAACUCUGUUAUUAGGGAAGAACAAGGAUGUAAGUAACUGUGCAUCCCUUGACGGUACCUAAUCAGAAAGCCACGGCUAACUACGUGCCAGCAGCCGCGGUAAUACGUAGGUGGCAAGCGUUAUCCGGAAUUAUUGGGCGUAAAGCGCGCGUAGGCGGUUUCUUAAGUCUGAUGUGAAAGCCCACGGCUCAACCGUGGAGGGUCAUUGGAAACUGGGAAACUUGAGUGCAGAAGAGGAAAGUGGAAUUCCAUGUGUAGCGGUGAAAUGCGCAGAGAUAUGGAGGAACACCAGUGGCGAAGGCGACUUUCUGGUCUGCAACUGACGCUGAUGUGCGAAAGCGUGGGGAUCAAACAGGAUUAGAUACCCUGGUAGUCCACGCCGUAAACGAUGAGUGCUAAGUGUUAGGGGGUUUCCGCCCCUUAGUGCUGCAGCUAACGCAUUAAGCACUCCGCCUGGGGAGUACGGCCGCAAGGCUGAAACUCAAAGAAAUUUGACGGA
rnacentral:rRNA from 1 species